AGGACGAACGCUGGCGGCGUGCCUAACACAUGCAAGUCGAGCGAGGAGAUUCCUUCGGGAUGAUCCUAGCGGCGGACGGGUGAGUAACACGUGGGCAACCUGCCUCAUAGAGAGGAAUAGCCUUCCGAAAGGGAGAUUAAUACCUCAUAACAUUGCAGUUUCGCAUGAACAGCAAUUAAAGGAGCAAUCCGCUAUGAGAUGGGCCCGCGGCGCAUUAGCUAGUUGGUGAGGUAACGGCUCACCAAGGCGACGAUGCGUAGCCGACCUGAGAGGGUGAUCGGCCACAUUGGGACUGAGACACGGCCCAGACUCCUACGGGAGGCAGCAGUGGGGAAUAUUGCACAAUGGGGGAAACCCUGAUGCAGCAACGCCGCGUGAGUGAUGACGGCCUUCGGGUUGUAAAGCUCUGUCUUCAGGGACGAUAAUGACGGUACCUGAGGAGGAAGCCACGGCUAACUACGUGCCAGCCGCCGC
rnacentral:rRNA from 1 species